rnacentral:piRNA from 1 species
UGAUAAGAAAUCAGAACUACUGCCAGC